rnacentral:lncRNA from 1 species
UUGGGCGCAAACUCGGCAGAUGGUCCCAAGGUCCCCAGAGGACUCUCCAUGCUGCAGGUGCCCUAACACACCCAGGAUCUUAGGAUCACUGAGGAGAGUCGGCCUCUAGAGAGGGCUCUGACCCUGGAACGCAGGUGAGAGCACCCAGGUCUCUCACAGACCAGUCUGCGCAGGAGAGCAAGUGGGCUUCAGAAGCAACAGAGCUUCUUGGACACGGUUCCUUCAGGCCUUCAUCCUCAGCCAGGAGGCGAAGCUGAGACUCAGACCUCUGGGUACCUUCCCUGUCAGAGGAGAGUCCACAUCCAGGAAGGGCUUUAACUCCAGGACUCAGGUGAGAGCGCCAUCUUGUAUCCCAGGUCUCUCAGAGACCAGUCUGAACAGGAGAACUUGUGGGCUGCAGAAGCAACAGAACUUAUUGGACAGGGUCCAUUCGGGACUUCAGUGAAGAGGUGGAUCUGAGCUCCAGACCUCUGCGCACCUUCCCUGCAAGAGGAGAGCUUGCCUGCAGAGAGUGUUCUGAUCACUGGGACUCAGGAGAGAGUUGGACUCCCAGGAGUGCUGACAGAGGCUAACAGAAUCACAGGAGAAACAAGCUCCAGCCAGAGAUUACCAGAUGACGAAAGGCAAAUGUCACAAGAGACUGCACUUACAACUGUGAAUAGCUAGAUGACCACAUGACCUGAUUUGGCCAAUGAUAUUUGAAGCAGAGCAGUGGUUGCCACUUUCUCACAAGUGUUCAAAGCCAUGGGGAAUUCUCAUCAUCACUCUUCCCUUGCUGGGAUGACCUUGAUAGGAACCACCUCAAGCAGAAGCGUCCACUGACUCCUGAUCCAAGCUUGGAGCUUCUGAUGAAGAAACCAGUAGUUACCUGUUGAGCUAUUAAGCCAAAGUACUGCGAAGAUGAUUGUAAGCACAGAAAGCCUUAGCCUAUGCUGAACCAUGUCAGAAAAGCUGUGCCAUUCUCCCUAAAUAUGAAUUAUUGCUAUUGUAGGUGACUGUUAAGAUCUAUUAGCAGACCUAACAGAAGACUCAGGGUAAUAUGAUAGCCAAGUGUAUCAGGCCCAGAGUCAAGACAGUGUUUCCUCAUUACAUUGCCACCAUCUAGGGCCUGCAGAGUUACUGCCAUUUCUGAUGGUAUUCCUGCUAACAAACACUCAGUACUUCCUUUAGAUGUUAAAAUACCUUAAGUAUAAAUUGCC